rnacentral:lncRNA from 1 species
GUGGCGAUGUGAUGGUUCUACUCGAUUCCGGUUGCGGCGGCGUCGUGACUUCCCCAUAAAAUACAGAGCGGCGGCGGCCCUUUCGGCAACGGCAAUGGUGGCGCGGGGCGGGACCCUCGCCAGAGCUCGUCCAGCUCCAAGUCGAUGGGUACGGGACGCCACUAGAGCUGGUACUUAUACACCCAAAGGGCGGAGUCCGUGGGUGCCAGGAUCCCGGUCGGAGCGGGGAGGUCGGCCAUGGCGAAGGGCGGGAUUCGGUGUCUGUUGGCGAAAACAAUCCUGACG